AAUGAACGCUGGCGGCGUGGUUAAGACAUGAAAGUCGAACGGUUUUUUCGGUGUAGCAAUACAUCGGAAAAGCAGUGGCGAACGGGUGCAUAACACGUGAACAAUCUACCUUCAAAUGGGGAAUAGCUCGGUGAAAACCGAAUUCAUACCGCAUGUGGUGGCUUCUCGCAUGAGAGGUUAACUAAAGACUGGGACCGCAAGGCCUGUCGGUUGAAGAGGACUUCGCGGGCUAUCAGCUAGUUGGCGAGGUAACGGCUCACCAAGGCUCAGACGGGUAGCUGGUCUGAGAGGAUGAGCAGCCACACUGGAACUGAGACACGGUCCAAACGCCAACGGGUGGCAGCAGUUUCGAAUCAGUCAAAAUGGGCGAAAGCCGGAUGGGGCGACGCCGCGUGAGGGAUGAAGGCCUUCGGGUUGUAAACCUCUGUCACCGGGGAAGAAACGCUUUGAGUUAAUAGUUCAAAGCCUGACUUAACCCGGAGAGGAAGCAGUGGCUAACUCUGUGCCAGCCGCCGCUGUAAAAC
rnacentral:rRNA from 1 species